UAAAGUCGGUUUGCUUAAUGGUUCCAACUCCUCCAUCUCCCUGAAGAAGCACGAUGCUUUUGAUGGACUGGGGGAGAAUUUUAGGGGCAUAGACAUGAGCUUCAAGGAGUAAGGCCUUGUACAACUUGGCUGGGGGGACUGCAGUAGCAAUCUCAGUCUGAGUAGUAAGAAUAGCCAUAGUCGAUCGGUAAUCCUUAAUUUGAAACAAAGUAAAAAUAUAGAAGAAGGUAUUAGGAAAUGUAUAUUUGGUGUUUGUGGCGAAAAAUGCAAGAGCUAAGGGAGGUAUUUAUACACAGAUAACAAAGGAUUUGGCAUUCACUCGCACUUGAGUCAAAAUGUGCAGGUUUGUAAUAUAAAUGUAAAUGCUAUCUUGAUUUGUUUUUGUUUAGCAUUUUUACAUUGCAGGUCUCUUGGCGCAGCUUGUUUCCUUUGACCAAGUGUAAUGGCGCUGGACAUAAAUUAUUCAAUUGAGGAUCAUGAUGUUAUUAAUUAUUAUUAUGGGUGCAUACCUUCAAGAUAUAUAUAAAUUAAGGUUCUUUAUUAUUAAUAAUAUUGUUCAAUUUCUUUCUAGAUGGUCCAUUUUGACGGUGCUACAUUGUAACAUAUUGUUACCUUUAUACACUUGGUUUGGAAUGGGCCUUUCCCUUCAGACAGCGCACAUUCCAUACGAGGAUUUCAUGGAGCAGCACAAUUUUGUCGCUCCUAAGCAACGUGGGACGCAUUAAGUACGUAUCGUCAUUUUUUUAACAAUUAAUAACAAAAAUAAGAUUUUAAAUGCCUUUGAGUAUCAAAUCACAACUAGUUAUUCACAUUUAUAGAUUUAAAAAAUAUAUUUUUUUAAUUUAUAGAGUAGUCGUCCUUAAAAAAUAUCUGUAGUCAAAAGGAUUUGAAAUUAAGAUCUCCCGCUCUUUACAUAAGUGAAAAAACAAAUCAGACCAUCACCUGAUUGACCGUAAAUUUAAAAAUAUUACACUUGAAAAAUGUGUAAUUAAAAUAAUUAAGAAAUUUAUUAUUUUUAUUUAAUGAAUAAUAAUUGACUAUAUUAUUAAUACAAAAAAUUACAACAAUUAGAAUUUAUCAAUCCUAACUCCGUUAAAAUCUAACUCCGUCCCUGAUCAUCUUCUUUACUCUGAUAAAUUUUUUUCAUAUUCAUGACUUUCAGUAAGAUAGUAAGAAUUCAACUAAUGGUUAGAUGAAGAGGUUAGAAGUAGAAUAAUUUACUUGAAUAUAAUAAGUGUUCCUUUCGUAAAUUAUAAAUGCUAAAUUUUGCUUUUUCAUUUUUUUCAUAAUUGGAUAUGUAAUUCGAUUUGAAAUUGAUUUUUAAGUCAAUUUAGAUCAUAAAAGUUGAAUUUAUAAUUAAUUUAUCCUUUUUUUUUUUUCAAAAAGUAGUAAGAUAUUUAUAGACCAUGGAACUUGCAUGAUAAGAAUUUUUAAUGUUAGAGUACCAUUAAUUAUGAAAUAUUCCAGCUCAAUUUAUAUUGAAAGCCGCCUAGUAAUAAUAUUUUAAUUUAUUUUAUUGUAAAAUUAAUUAUUAACAUAAUCUUAUUGUAUUAUAAUAAAAAUAUAAAUUUUCUAUCAAUCAUGUGUGAUUUAAUUGGCUUUUCACUCAUAUAAAAAGUGAGAUGUCUCAAAUUCGAAUCACUUUCUACCACAAGUGACUUAGGGUUAAUGUUGUAUAAUCAACAAAAAAUAGGGAGAGCUUCAGAUAGAAUUUUAAAAUUUAAAAAAAAAAAAAAAACUGAAGAGUACUUCAGACAGGGCUCAUUUCAUGCGAGUAUUUCAUGGAGCAGCCCAAAUUAAUAAAAAAAAAAAAAAUUUUAAAUAUCUUUUGAAUAUCAAAUUAUAUUCACAUCCAGCGAGUGCUAUAUUUAUAGAUUUACAAAUAUAAUAUUUGAAAAAUUUAUAAUUAAAAUAAUUAAAAUUUAUUUAUUUAUUUAUUUUUUGAAUGAAUAAUAAUUUGACUAUAUUAUCAAUUCAGAAGUUCAGUAAUGUGAUUAAAUUAUGUUUAAUUUCACAUCAUUUAUAAUUAAUGUAUUUGGUAUAUACUCCUUUCUUUUUAAAAAAUAAGUGUCUUUUUUUAGCUCGACAUAUAUAUUAAGGAAUGCAAUCAAUAAUCUAAAUUUUGCAAAAAUAUUUAAAAUAUAUAUAUAUAUAUUUUAUAAAAUAUCAUUUUUAAUUUUCUCAAACUAAUAUUUAUGGAUAAAAUAACUUAUACUUGUGUACCGAGGACAUAGUUACUUAGUCCAAACCAAAAAAAAUUAUUAGAGUCAACAUACUCGAGAAAGAAAUGCAUCAUCUUAUGAAGGAAAAUAAAAUUUUAGUAGAAUAUUUAUUGCAAGUCCACGCAUUUUACAUUUUCACUCCAAAAUCCAAAUACAAAUGCUAAAAGCCAUCCAUUCAAGUUCAAUCCAACAAUAAUUUUAUUACCAAAGCCAAAACAAAUUUUGGCAUUCAUGGAAAAGAGGACAGAAAAAAAAAAAAGAAAACAGGCAAGAUCGAUGGGCAGUAAUUAGGUCAUGACUGAUGAAAUUUUAGUUCUAGGCAUCAGGAUUUGCGACAAGAUAGGCUUCAACAGCCUUGACAAAUCCAUCGGUCGUAUCCUCAGCCUCCUUGAUUUUGCUGGGAUCGAUCUCAGCGUUGCCCUUAGGGUAGUACUUGUUGGUGGCCUUGUAGAUGGAACCUCCGCCAGGAGUAGCUACUACUUCUGCCUCGUAUGUAGCUUUCUCUACUGUCUCUACCCAUGGUUCACCUUCAAAUGCAGUGUAGAUGUAUUUCAAAUUCCCUUCAUCUACUGCAUCUACCUUCACCUUUAAAUACACCCCAAACCCUGGAAAAAUGAAUGUUUUAGUAUUUAGUGAUCAUAAUGUAAAAAAAUCAAAUGUUCAAACUAAUUCUUUUUAAUCAACAACUAUUGCAAUACACCCGAAUAAAAUAAGUAAACAAACAAACCUUCUUUAAAGUCGGUUUGCUUAAUGGUUCCAACUCCUCCAUCUCCCUGAAGAAGCACGAUGCUUUUGAUGGACUGGGGGAGAAUUUUAGGGGCAUAGACAUGAGCUUCAAGGAGUAAGGCCUUGUACAACUUGGCUGGGGGGACUGCAGUGGCAAUCUCAGUCUGAGUAGUAAGAAUAGCCAUGGUAAUCCUUAAUUUGAAACAAAGUAAAAAUAUAGAAGAAGGUAUUAGGAAAUGUAUACUUGGUGUUUGUGGCGAAAAAUGCAAGAGCUAAGGGAGGUAUUUAUACACAGAUAACAAAGGAUUGGCAUUCACUCGCACUUGAGUCAAAAUGUGCAGGUUUUCAAUAUAAAUGUAAAUGCUAUCUUGAUUUGUUUUUGUUUAGCAUUUUUACAUUGCAGGUCUCUUGGCGCAGCUUGUUUCCUUUGACCAAGUGUAAUGGCGCUAGACAUAAAUUAUUCAAUUGAGGAUCAUGAUGUUAUUAAUUAUUAUUGUUAUUAUUGGUCCAUACCUUCAAGAUAUAUAUAAAUUAAGGUUCUUUAAUUAUUAAUAAUAUUGUUCAAUUUCUUUCUAGAUGGUCCAUUUUGACGGUGCUACAUUGUAAUAUAUUGUUACCUUUAUACACUUGGUUUGGAAUGGGUGAAAGAAAGUUUAUCCUCUCCCUUUUGUUAUAAAAUAAAAAAAAAAGAUAAUGUUAGAUACGAAUAUUAUAAAUACAUUUUUUUGCAUGAAUAAUAUAAAAAAAUAAAUCUAAAGAGAGAAAGGUGAUUGUGUUUGUUGCAUAUGUAAGACGUUAAAGAGAAGCCAGUAUUAUAGACCUUGGAACUUGCAACAUAAGAAAUUCCAAUGCCAGAGUACAAUUAAUUAUGAAUUAAUUUAUACUGAAAGCCCCCUAAUUAAUUUAUUAUAUUGUAAUAAUCACACAACUUUUAUUGAUAUAAUUAAUGAUUUACAUAAUUUUAUCGUAUUCUAAAAAAUAAUGUAGUGUUUUUAUCAAUCAGGUGUGUUUGUUUGGAUUAUAAGUGUUUUCAUCAAAUUACUGAAUCAGAAGAAGACUAUUAUAUUCUAUAAUCUAUAAUCUUAUUUCAAACGAAUAAAAAAAAUUAUGAAGAGAGCUUCUGUUGAUAGAAUCAAUUUUAAAAUUUAAAAAAAUAAAAAAAUUUUGCGAGUGCUUCAGACAGCGCACAUUCCAUAUGAGGAUUUCAUGGAGCAGCCCAAUUUUGUCGCACCUAAGCAACGUGGGACGCAUUAAGUACGUAUCGUCAUUUUUUUAAAAAUUAAUAAAAAAAAUAAGAUUUUAAAUGCCUUUGAAUAUCAAAUCACACCUAGUUAUUCACAUUUGUAGAUUAAAAAAAAUAUAUUUUUUAAUUUAUGGAGUAGUCGUCCUUAAAAAAUAACUGUAGUCAAGAGCAUUUGAAAUUAAGAUCUCUCACUCUUCACAUAAAUGAGAAAACAAAUCAGAUCACCACUUAAUUGGCCGUAAAUUAAAAAAUAUGGCAAUUGAGAAAUGUGUAAUUAAAAUAAUUAAGAAAUUUAAUUAUUUUUUAUUUAAUGAAUAAUAAUUACUAUAUUAUUAAUCCAAAAAAUUACAACAAUUAGAAUUUAUCAAUCCUUAAAAUAAAAAAAAUAUGAAAAAAAACAUAAUUAAAAAUUAUAUUUCGUUGAAUUAAUUAUUAUUCUAUUGUUUUGAGAUUUUUUUUGGUAAGUAACAUAAAUCUAUGUUAUUAAAUUAUUAAUUCUAAGCUAUGCAAAAUUAAUUGUACAUAUUAAUGAAAUUUUUUGGCCACAAACGGUAAAUAUGUCAUCUUCAUGGGCGGAGGGAUGGGACUGGGGAGGCCGGGCCCCUCUAAACUCUAGAAUUUUUCCUAUUUUUGCUUUAUAAUUUAAUAAAAAAAAUAUUUUUCUUCAUUUUGGUCCCUUGACUUUUAAAAUUUUUAUUUUGACCACUCUGAAUUCUAAAAUCUAACUCCCACCUGAUCAUCUUCUUUAUUUUGAUAAAUUUUUUUGAUAUUCACGACUUUCAGUAGGAUAGUAAGAAUUCAACUAAUAGUUAGAUGAAGAGGUUAGAAAUAGAAUAAUUUACUUGAAUAAAAUAAGUGUUCCUUUCGUUAAUAAGUUAAAUGUUAAAUUUUGCUUUUUCAUUUUUUUCAUAAUUGGAUAUGUAAUUCGAUUUGAAAUUGAUUUUUAAGUCAAUUUAGAUCAUAAAAUUUGAAUUUGUAAUUAAUUUAUCCUUUUUUUUUUUUUUCAAAAAGUAGUAAGAUAUUAAAUUUUUAUUUUUGAAAUAAUAAAAAUUAACAAUCGAAGACUAAAGAAAAAAAAAUGUAAAAUUAAAAGACAUUUUGUUUCGAUUCUUGUUUUCUUCUCCUCUUGGAUGAUAAGAUUGAGUUUCUGUCUAUUGUUAUUAUUAUUUUUAAAAUUUUGAAAGGAUAUUUAAAAAAGUAAUAUUAUAUAUACUAAAAAAAAAAGAAGUAAUAAUAUAUUACUUUUUUACCAAUAAUAAGAUACAUAGAGUCAAAACCUAAGUCUUAAAUUGAAGAUUUAAAUUCAACAUUUUCCCCUGUUACUUAGAUGGUAAGUGAUCUCAAAAUUUUAUAAGAGUAAGAAUACAAAUUUAAUUUUCAUAAUUACACUUUUACAUACAGCCCGAGAGAAAUUAUAACCCUAAAUAAAAAAAAAUAAAACUUAACAUAUAGUCAAAGUAUCAACUGUCUAGCAUUUGCGUCGACAGUGACAUAUAUAGAUACAUGGGCGAAACCAAAAUUAUUAGAUUAAACACAAUAUUAAUCAAGAACAAGAAAAUAUUAGUAGAAAUCGAAUAUUUAUUGCAAGUUCAAGGCAUUUUACAUUUUCACUCUCCAAAAUCCAAAAACAAAUACAAAUGCUAAAAGCCAUCCAUUCAACCCAAUACUGCAUACACAAACUUUAUUAUCAUGCCAAAAACACUCGUAGAAAAGAGAAAAAGAAACAAGCAAGAUCGAUGGGCAGUAAUUGGGACACGGCUUAUGAAAUUUUAGUUUCAGGCAUCAGGAUUUGCCACAAGAUAGGCUUCAACAGCCUUGACAAGUCCUUCGGUUUUUUCUUCAGCAUCCUUGAUUUUGCUGAUAUCGAUCUCAGCGUUGCCCUUAGGGUAGUACUUGUUGGUGGCCUUGUAGAUGGAUCCUCCGCCAGGAGCAGCUACUACUUGUGUCUCAUACGUAGCUUUUUCUACCGUAUCUACCCACGGCUCACCUUCAAACGCAGUGUAGACGAAUUUCAAGUUGGCUUCAUCUACUGCAUCUACCUUGACCUUUAAGUAGACUCCAAACCCUGCAUGUCGAAAAAAAAAAAUCAAAUAUUCAAAUUCUGAUGAACUAAUUCUUUUUAUAUCAACAGUUAUAUUGCAAUGCACCCAAAUAAACAAACAAACAGACAAACCUUCUACAAAGUUGGUUUUCUUAAUAGUUCCAGCACCUCCAUCUCCCUGAAGAAUAUCGAUGCUUUUGAUGAACUGGUGGAGAAUUUUAGGGGCAUAGACAUGAGCUUCAAAGAGUAAAGCCUUGAACAACUUGGCUGGGGGAACUGCAGUAGCAAUCUCAGUCUGAGUAGUAACAACAGCCAUGAUCUUUGAAGAAUAUAAAAAUAACGAGUAAGGUAAUGUAUGUUUGGUGGGUGUGGGGAAAUGCAAGAGCUAAGGAAGGUAUUUAUAGAUAGAGACAUCAAAGAAUUCGCACUCGCUCGCACUUAAAAGUCAAAUUUGCUGGCUAUAACUGUAGAUGCAAAUUCUAUCUUGAUUUGUUCUUGUUUGGCAUCUUUACAUUGGAGAUCUCCUGGCUCUGCAUGGUUUCUAUUGUCCAAGUGUAAUGGCGGGAGACAGAAAGUAUUCAAUUGAGGAUCAUGAUGAUAUUAAUUAUUAUUAUUAUUAUUAUUAUUAUUACUGUUAUUGGUUCACACAUUCUAGAUAUAGAAAUUAAGGUUCUUGGUCGGAGUUUUAAUAAUGUUGUUCAAAUACUUUUCUAGAUGGUCCAUUUUGACGUUCAUAUAUGUAUAUGAUGAAGUAGUAGUACUAUAUACUGUUACCUGUGUACACCUGGUUUGCAAUGGGUGAAAGAAACUUUAAUAAACUACGGCGAGCUAAAUGCUCAGAGGUUUAUCUCUCCUUUUUGUAAAUAAAAAACCAAAAAAAAAAAAAAAAUGCUAUGAUAAGAUAAAAAGUAUGGUCGGGUAAUGGUAUUUUUUUUAUAAUGUUUAAUAAUUUUGUAUUGUUUAAUUAUUCUUAGAAGAUAAUAUUAAUAUUUCGUUUGUUUCUGUAAAAUAACUUGUAAAAAAUAUUUUCCAAAUGAUUGAUUUUUUAUUGUUUGGUUGUAAUAUUUAAAAUUAGUUAAAAAUAUUAAUUAAAUUCUUUUUCUCAUAAGACCAUAAAAAUAUUAAUAAUAAUAGAAAUUUUAUAAUUUUAAAAUUUUAUUGUUAAAUAUGAGAAGAAUGAAAAAAAAAAUGUAAAUUAUGAAAGCUGCCGGUGGCCAGCGAUGGUGGUCGGUGGUAAAUGGUGACUGAUAGUAAUGACUAUGAUGAUUAAUAAAUUACAAAAAAUGUGGAUUUAUAAGGUUUAUCAACGUCCGGAAAAUGUUUUAUUAUCUCGAAAUUGAGAAGUUGUUUUCCUUAAAAAAUGACUUAUUUUUUUUUAAUCAGAAAAAUAUUUUCCGUUGAUUUAUUUUACUGAACGCCCCAAACAACAGAAAAUUGUGAAAAAUAUUUUUCUGCACGUUAUUUUACGGUAAUAAACGGAGGCUAAAUAUGAAUAAAUAUCUUUUUUCAUGAAAGUUUUUGUUUUAAAUAUAUAAAUUGAUUAAAAUUAUUUUUUAAUGAAAUAAUAUAGAUAAUAUAAAAAAUUAAAACUUUUAAGUCUUUUCAACAUUCCACUUUAGUGGGUUGAAAAUUUGAUGAUUUUGAGAUAUUUUAACCUAAAGCAAAAAUAAAAUAAAAUAAAAUAAAAAGCUGAGUUGAAAAUUUUUUAAUCUCCUUUCUUAAGAUUUCUUACAUGGGCCUUUGCCUAGUUAUAUAUGUAAAAAUAAAUUCUCAUUUCUCAAACACACUUAUUAAAUUUAAAGCAAACCAAAAAAUCACCUGAUUAGCUAAAUUAUACUUUAUUUUGAUAAUAUUUAUCUUGGAAAGAUAUUCACUUUCACGAGUAUUUAUAUAAUUUCUGAAAAUAAUUUUAAAAAUAAAAUUUUAAAUUCCAAAAUACUAACAACACGUUACCAUAUUAAAAGAAAAUAUAAUAAAUUGGUAUUUUAAUUUAAUUUAAACGUUAACAUCUUGAAAAUAUAAAAUCAAUGUAUUACAUUAUGGUUGGGGAAAAACAAAUUAUGGAAAAUUUUAAGACAGUUGAAUUAAGCACACCUCUAAGCAAAUCCUGAUGACUAUUAUGAAUAUUAUAUAUGUUUAAUUAAGAUUGUUAAGGUCAUCGGCAAAUCCGUAGUUAUCAAAAGUCAAUUAAGACCAAUAGUUUCUAUAUUGAUUAAUGAACUUAUGAGUAUAUAUUUAUAUAUAUGCAAUUUUUUGAAAGUAAUUUCAUUUAUAUAUAUAUAUAUGUGUGUGUGUGUGUUUCAGGAGUAAUAACAUGAAGAAAAUAGAAAAAGUUGAUGACAUUAUUAUAAAAAAAAAAAAAAGAAAACAGGCAAGAUCGAUGGGCAGUAAUUAGGUCAUGACUGAUGAAAUUUUAGUUUUAGGCAUCAGGAUUUGCCACAAGAUAGGCUUCAACAGCCUUGAUAAAUCCAUCGGUCAUAUCCUCAGCCUCCUUGAUUUUGCUGGGAUCGACCUCAGCGUUGCCCUUAGGGUAGUACUUGUUGGUGGCCUUGUAGAUGGACCCUCCGCCAGGAGUAGCUACUACUUCUGCCUCAUAUGUAACUUUCUCUACUGUCUGUACCCAUGGUUCACCUUCAAAUGCAGUGUAGAUGAAUUUCAAAUUCCCUUCAUCUACUGCAUCUACCUUCACCUUUAAAUACACCCCAAACCCUGGAACAAUGAAUGUUUUAGUAUUUAGGGAUCAUAAUGUAAAAUCAAAUGUUCAAACUAAUUCUUUUUAAUCAACAACUAUUGCAAGACACCCGAAUAAAAUAAGUAAGCAAACAAACCUUCUUUGGAGAAUUUUAGGGGCAUAGACAUGAGCUACAAGGAGAAAGGCCUUGUACAGCUUGGCUGGGGGGACUGCAGUAGCAAUCUCAGUCUGAGUAGAAAGAAUAGCCAUGGUAAUCCUUAAUUUGAAACAAAGUAAAAAUAUAGAAGAAGGUAUUAGGAAAUGUAUACUUGGUGUUUGUGUCGAAAAAUGCAAGAGCUAAGGGAGGUAUUUAUACACAGAUAACAAAGGAUUGGCAUUCACUCGCACUUGAGUCAAAAUGUGCAGGUUUGUAAUAUAAACGUAAAUGCUAUCUUGAUUUGUU
rnacentral:lncRNA from 1 species